rnacentral:rRNA from 1 species
AACGAACGCUGGCGGCGUGCCUAACACAUGCAAGUCGAACGAGAAGUACGUAGCAAUACGUAUUGUAAAGUGGCGCACGGGUGAGUAACACGUGGGUAAUCUGCCCUUGAGUUUGGGAUAACCCCGCGAAAGCGGGGCUAAUACCGAAUAAGACCACGGGGACCAAAGUCCCUGAGGUAAAAGGUGGCCUCUAUUUAUAAGCUACCACUUGAGGAUGAGCCCGCGGCCCAUUAGCUAGUUGGCAGGGUAACGGCCUACCAAGGCGAUGAUGGGUAGCUGGUCUGAGAGGACGAUCAGCCACACUGGAACUGAGACACGGUCCAGACUCCUACGGGAGGCAGCAGUGGGGAAUAUUGCGCAAUGGGCGAAAGCCUGACGCAGCAACGCCGCGUGGGGGAUGAAGGUUCUCGGAUUGUAAACCCCUUUCGACCGGAACGAAUCCCCUCCUGGUAAAUAAUCAGGAGGAUCGACGGUACCGGGAGAAGAAGCCACGGCUAACUCUGUGCCAGCAGCCGCGGUAGGACAGAGGUGGCGAGCGUUGUUCGGAUUUAUUGGGCGUAAAGCGAACGCAGGUGGUUUGGUAAGUCAGGGGUGAAAGCCCACAGCUUAACUGUGGCACUGCCUUUGAUACUGCCUUUCUAGAGUGCAUGAGGGGGAAGCGGAAUUCCGAGUGUAGAGGUGAAAUUCGUAGAUAUUCGGAGGAACACCGGUGGCGAAGGCGGCUUCCUGGCAUGUAACUGACACUCAUGUUCGAAAGCGUGGGUAGCAAACAGGAUUAGAUACCCUGGUAGUCCACGCCCUAAACGAUGGGCACUAGGUGUGGGAGGUAUCGACCCCUUCCGUGCCGCAGCUAACGCAUUAAGUGCCCCGCCUGGGGAGUACGGCCGCAAGGUUGA